rnacentral:rRNA from 1 species
GACGAACGCUGGCGGCGUGCUUAACACAUGCAAGUCGAACGGAAAGGCCCUGCUUUUGUGGGGUGCUCGAGUGGCGAACGGGUGAGUAACACGUGAGUAACCUGCCCUUGACUUUGGGAUAACUUCAGGAAACUGGGGCUAAUACCGGAUAGGAGCUCCUGCUGCAUGGUGGGGGUUGGAAAGUUUCGGCGGUUGGGGAUGGACUCGCGGCUUAUCAGCUUGUUGGUGGGGUAGUGGCUUACCAAGGCUUUGACGGGUAGCCGGCCUGAGAGGGUGACCGGCGACAUUGGGACUGAGAUAGGGCCCAGACUGCUAUGGGAGGCAGCAGUGGGGAAUAUUGCACAAUGGGCGGAAGCCUGAUGCAGCAACGUCGCGUGCGGGAUGACGGCCUUCGGGUUGUAAACCGCUUUCGCCUGUGACGAAGCGUGAGUGACGGUAAUGGGUAAAGAAGCACCGGCUAACUACGUG